rnacentral:rRNA from 1 species
AUUGAACGCUGGCGGCAUGCCUUACACAUGCAAGUCGAACGGCAGCACGGGUGCUUGCACCUGGUGGCGAGUGGCGAACGGGUGAGUAAUACAUCGGAACAUGUCCUGUAGUGGGGGAUAGCCCGGCGAAAGCCGGAUUAAUACCGCAUACGAUCUACGGAUGACAGCGGGGGACCUUCGGGCCUCGCGCUAUAGGGUUGGCCGAUGGCUGAUUAGCUAGUUGGUGGGGUACAGGCCUACCAAGGCGACGAUCAGUAGCUGGUCUGAGAGGACGACCAGCCACACUGGGACUGAGACACGGCCCAGACUCCUACGGGAGGCAGCAGUGGGGAAUUUUGGACAAUGGGCGAAAGCCUGAUCCAGCAAUGCCGCGUGUGUGAAGAAGGCCUUCGGGUUGUAAAGCACUUUUGUCCGGAAAGAAAUCCUUGGCCCUAAUACGGUCGGGGGAUGACGGUACCGGAAGAAUAAGCACCGGCUAACUACGUG